rnacentral:rRNA from 1 species
GAUGAACGCUGGCGGCGUGCCUAAUACAUGCAAGUCGAGCGAACAGACGAGGAGCUUGCUCCUCUGACGUUAGCGGCGGACGGGUGAGUAACACGUGGAUAACCUACCUAUAAGACUGGGAUAACUUCGGGAAACCGGAGCUAAUACCGGAUAAUAUAUUGAACCGCAUGGUUCAAUAGUGAAAGACGGUUUUGCUGUCACUUAUAGAUGGACCCGCGCCGCAUUAGCUAGUUGGUAAGGUAACGGCUUACCAAGGCAACGAUGCGUAGCCGACCUGAGAGGGUGAUCGGCCACACGGGAAAUGAGACACGGUCCAGACUCCUACGGGAGGCAGCAGUAGGGAAUCUUCCGCAAUGGGCGAAAGCCUGACGGAGCAACGCCGCGGGAGUGAUGAAGGUCUUCGGAUCGUAAAACUCUGUUAUUAGGGAAGAACAAAUGUGUAAGUAACUAUGCACGUCUUGACGGUACCUAAUCAGAAAGCCACGGCUAACUACGU